AAAAAAGCCCCCUCGCCGAAAGCGCAAGGUUUCCUACGCAACGUUCAUCGGCGUAGGGUGAGUCGGCCCCUAAGGUGAGGCAGAGAUGCGUAGCUGAUGGGAAACAGGUCAAUAUUCCUGUACCGAUGUGUAGUGCGAUGUGGGGACGGAGAUGGUUAACUCAGCCAGGUGUUGGAUUACCUGGUCCAAGCAUGUAGUCGUGGCCCUUAGGCAAAUCCGGGGGUCUUAGAUGAGGUGUGAUAACGAGGCGGCUUGCCGCCGAAGUGAGUGAUACCCUGCUUCCAAGAAAAGCCACUAAGCUUCAGCUAUACACGACCGUACCGCAAACCGACACUGGUGCGCGAGAUGAGUAUUCUAAGGCGCUUGAGAGAACUCUGGAGAAGGAACUCGGCAAAUUGACACCGUAACUUCGGAAGAAGGUGUGCCUUUAGUAGGUGAAGUCGUACAGACGGAGCCCAAUGAGGCCGCAGAGAAUCGGUGGCUGCAACUGUUUACUAAAAACACAGCACUCUGCAAAGACGAAAGUCGACGUAUAGGGUGUGACGCCUGCCCGGUGCUGGAAGAUUAAAUGAUGGGGUGCAAGCUCUUGAUUGAAGUCCCAGUAAACGGCGGCCGUAACGAUAACGGUCCUAAGGUAGCGAAAUUCCUUGUCGGGUAAGUUCCGACCUGCACGAAUGGCGUAAUGAUGGCCACACUGUCUCCUCCAGAGACUCAGCGAAGUUGAAAUGUUUGUGAUGAUGCAAUCUCCCCGCGGAAAGACGGAAAGACCCCAUGAACCUUUACUGUAGCUUUACAUUGGACUUUGAACAGAUCUGUGUAGGAUAGGUGGGAGGCUUUGAAGCGGUGCCGCUAGGUGUCGUGGAGCCAACGUUGAAAUACCACCCUGGUGUGUUUGAGGUUCUAACCUUGGCCCGUUAUCCGGGUUGGGGACAGUGUAUGGUGGGCAGUUUGACUGGGGCGGUCUCCUCCCAAAGCGUAACGGAGGAGUUCGAAGGUACGCUAGGCACGGUCGGAAAUCGUGCUAAUAGUGCAUAGGCAUAAGCGUGCUUGACUGCGAGACUGACAAGUCGAGCAGGUACGAAAGUAGGACUAAGUGAUCCGGUGGCUCUGUAUGGAAGGGCCAUCGCUCAACGGAUAAAAGGUACUCUGGGGAUAACAGGCUGAUACCGCCCAAGAGUUCAUAUCGACGGCGGUGUUUGGCACCUCGAUGUCGGCUCAUCUCAUCCUGGGGCUGUAGCCGGUCCCAAGGGUAUGGCUGUUCGCCAUUUAAAGAGGUACGUGAGCUGGGUUUAAAACGUCGUGAGACAGUUUGGUCCCUAUCUUCCGUGGGCGCUGCAAGAUUGAGAGAGCCUGCUCCUAGUACGAGAGGACCGGAGUGGACGCACCUCUGGUGCAUCGGUUGUCACGCCAGUGGCAUAGCCGAGUAGCUAAGUGCGGAAGAGAUAACCGCUGAAAGCAUCUAAGCGGGAAACUCGUCUCAAGAUGAGUCUUGCCGGGGCCUUGAGCCCCCUGAAGAGUCGUUCGAGACCAGGACGUUGAUAGGCCGGGUGUGGAAGCUGGGUAACCAGUUAAGCUGACCGGUACUAAUUGCUCGUGCGGCUUGACCCU
rnacentral:rRNA from 1 species